GUGCGAAAGUCGUGUAAUGUUUCAGGAUUGCCUACUUUGGACAAAUGGAAAAUUCGCACUUGCGCAGUGGCAAGCAUGUUCUGAGAGAAACGGAUACAGGUCACCACUUUAAGAACUUAAAUAAAUACUCUGUAUGGAGGACCUUAAAAGAUCACUGAGGAUGCCUCUGUUUGGAAACACAUUUAGUCCUAAAAAGAUUCCUCCACGUAAAUCCGCCUCCUUGUCCAGCCUCCACACGUUGGAUCGUUCAACUCGAGAAAUAGAGCUGGGCCUUGAGUAUGGACCUCCUGUGAUGAACAUUGGAGGUCAGGUCUUGAAAUUUGAAGAGGGACAGUGGAUUACAGAAUCUGGUGGAAAUGUGUCUAAUAGGGAAGUUCAGCGGCUUAAGAAAAGAAAUAUCCAGCUGGAGGAGGAAAAUAACGUAUUAAAACUAAAGAUUGAACUUCUCCUGGAUAUGUUGACCGAGACUACGGUAGAGUAUCACCUGAUGGAGAAAGAAGUGGAAGAAGUCAAGACUCAACAUCGAAGGAAAAAGUGACAGAUCUGAUCUAGUGCCUCCAUUGAAUAAAGUGUUUUCUUCCAAGGAAAAUUUUUUUGUAUCUAUAGAUAACAGGACAAAAGUAAAAAUAUCAUCCAUUUUCCUCACAAUGAGGAUUCUUGUGUUACAUCUCACUCUUUAUUUUCCAUUUACUGUAUGUGUUCUGUUUUUAAUUUGUUGAGUUAUUCCACCUUAAAAACCUUCUUUGGUCAAUACACAGCCUAUUUUCUAUGCUUUGUACAUUUGUAUGUGAUGUAAAACCUGCUUUUUAAUUUUAAUUUUUUCUAUUUUCUUUUUGGAUUAAAAGUAAACUAUUGACAAAAGGCAUUUCUUUCUUUUUGUUUGAUUUUUGGUUUUUAGAAAAUAACAUUUGUGAAUUGUUGGAUUCAUAGAAGCUCUAAAAAUAUACAGUAACACAUUACAAAGAAAAAAAUAAGAAAAGUAAGGCUUCAUUCACUAUUUUGGCUUUUCAUUCAGCUCCACAUAGUAUAAGAGCAAUAAUCUCAUAUACAGUAUGCCUUCCAUAUAGUUACUGAGUAACUUUUGUCACUGUAACUUUUGUGUGGUCAGAAUUAUUUACAGCUUUAAUACAUAGCAUACAGGGCUUCUCUUUUUGUACAUUGUUUUCUUUUAUUUAGCUCACAAACAGAAUAAAAACAUGCUUUUGAAACAGGCUCAAACCCAUGAAAGGAAAAGGGAAACUGAAGGCAUUACAUUUAAUUCUUUUAUUAGUUUUAGUAGUGCAUAAACCUGCACAAACUCUGAGGCUGUAUCUGUCUUCAAUUUCAGCAUCUCCUUCCCGACCGACCAAUAAAGCUUGAUUUAUUUGUGAAUUAUGCUAUGUUGUUCAGUCAGUCAUAGGAGUUUAUUCAGCACUGUCUAAAGGUUUUGUUUACUACAGUCAUAGGUAGAGAAAAUAAAGACAACAAUGCCAAAACUUUCAGUUUAUCUACCAAAAUGCAUUUCUAAAAACUUGGAUUCAAAUAACCAAAUACAUAAUUAUUAUUUUAUUUAUUUAUCCAUUAUUAUAUUAUUAAACAGAAAAGCGUUACAUGCAACUUUUAUGAAUGAUGUAACUCUCUUUAUCCAAUUGGUCAAUCCCACGUUUCAAUCACGCACAGUGCGGCUCAUAGUCCCAACUGCGCAUGCGUACGUCUCCGCGAGCGAAAGAGGCGUCUGCCAAUAGCGGGAGAGACGAAGUACUUUUUAUUCUUUUCAUCUAGCACUUUAAAUCACCGGCGUUUCGAGUGAACUGUUGUAUUAUUCUUUGACGUUGUGGUGGACUUUUAUAGACCUUACCUAUAACAAUGCCUCGUGGUGGGAAAAAGGGCCACAAAGGCCGCGGGAAGCAGUUCAGCAACCCUGAAGAGAUUGAUCGGCAGAUGAGAGCCCAGCGAGAGCUGG